UGUAAUGAAAAAUCCUCUGGAGUUCUCUCUUCAUCGUCGUGUGUGUAUAUAUAUAUAUAUACACACACACACACACACGACGAUGAAGAGAGAACUCCAGAGGAUUUUUC
rnacentral:miRNA from 1 species